UUAGGUGAAUUAUCUUCUAUACUUAAGCAAGAUACACAUAUCUUUUGGAUAGAAUUAAAUUAGUUAAGUUCGUUUUAAAUUGGAACAAAGUUUGACUCCGGUGUAAUUUACGCCAAAACUCUCUAUCUGUUUUUUUUUAACCUUUCCCGUCAGAUUAGUCAAAGAAUCUAAAUUUAUUUUGAUUCUGAUAGGCUAUAAAAAU
rnacentral:sRNA from 1 species